AGUGAACGCUGGCGGUAGGCCUAACACAUGCAAGUCGAACGGCAGCACAGUAAGAGCUUGCUCUUACGGGUGGCGAGUGGCGGACGGGUGAGGAAUACAUCGGAAUCUACUUUUUCGUGGGGGAUAACGUAGGGAAACUUACGCUAAUACCGCAUACGACCUACGGGUGAAAGCAGGGGAUCUUCGGACCUUGCGCGAUUGAAUGAGCCGAUGUCGGAUUAGCUAGUUGGCGGGGUAAAGGCCCACCAAGGCGACGAUCCGUAGCUGGUCUGAGAGGAUGAUCAGCCACACUGGAAGUGAGACACGGUCCAGACUGCUACGGGAGGCAGCAGUGGGGAAUAGUGGGCAAGGGGCGCAAGCCUGAUCCAGCCAUACCGCGUGGGUGAAGAAGGCCUUCGGGUUGUAAAGCCCUUUUGUUGGGAAAGAAAAGCAGCAGGUUAAUACCCCGCUGUUCUGACGGUACCCAAAGAAUAAGCACCGGCUAACUUCGUG
rnacentral:rRNA from 1 species